ACAUUUGCAGGCAGGAGUCAACAGGCACUGCUUAUUCCAAAUUCUCUGUUAUUAGGCUUCAGGUAGGAGGUACUCUCUGAUUCUCUGAUUCCUUAGCCGCGGAAUUCAUCCAUGAACUUUUUUAUGGAAUUCUGCGAAGUGAUUCAUUUCCAUCAAAAUACAAAUAUCUUCCUGGAAUAGCUUUAUUCUCAGUUCAAUAAACUCUAAUCCCCAAUAAUUCACCUAAAACAAAUCCAAAAUGGUACCUCCUGCUUAAAUGGAAAACGUGAAUUCAACUUCAAAUUUAUUCAGCAGCAAAUUGGGUUAAAAAAAGGAUUCAGCCUAGUCGGUUUGGAAAAUUGAACUUCACAAACACAACGAAGUAAAUUGGGUUACCUUAAUAAGCUCCCUUAAACUGAUUCAAAAUUCAGAUUCCACUCUUAGUUGUUCAUUGAAACCCUCUUCUAUUGCUCUACAACAUGGUUUCGCAUUUGGGUUUUCCCUUACGUCACUUCUUUUUUUUUUUUUUUUUUCAAGUAAACAGAGAAAAAGAGAUAGAGACAGAUGACCACUA
rnacentral:lncRNA from 1 species